GACGUAGGGCGCGAGCGUUGUCCGGAUUUAUUGGGCGUAAAGAGCUCGUAGGCGGCUUGUCGCGUCGACUGUGAAAACCCGUGGCUCAACCAUGUGGUCUGCAGUCGAUACGGGCAGGCUAGAAUUCGGUAGGGGAGGACUGGAAUUCCUGGUGGAGCGGUGAAAUGCGCAGAUAUCAGGAGGAACACCGGUGGCGAAGGCGGG
rnacentral:rRNA from 1 species